UACUUUUACUUUGUACUUCAAAUAUUUUUGAGGGAUACUUUGUACUUUUUACUUAAGUUCGUUUUGCUUCCAGUACUUUUUACUCUUACUCAAGUUGUUUUAUUGUCAAUUACUUCUACUUUUACUCGAGUACGAAUUCAAAGUAAUUUAGGCACCACUGACAAUCCCCCUCAACAACGUGGAGUUUUACCAUCUUUUUCAUGUACUGUAUUAGUGUAAAUAAUUAUAUGGUUGCAUUAAUCAAUUACCACAAUAUAAGCUACUUACUGUAUGUCAUCUAAAAUUACCAAAUAUCAUUG